rnacentral:misc_RNA from 1 species
AUUACAGGCAGCUCGACGAUGCUAACGUCAAAAUUGAAAUACAAUUUCUAUAAUUAUAAUCUGUUUCUAUAAAGGUCCUUUGGUGUUUAAAUACGGAACGAUUCAGUUUUAGUACGAUGGGUGAUGCGACUCGAAGAAAUUCAAGCUCGUGAACUAGUUCCGUCUAUUUCCUAUUAUAUAAUCGAUCGAAUCAACACGGAAAUUACUUUCGAGAUUAAUUAACUAGGGUCGAUGACCGUUAUUCGAAAGUAGCAGCAGUUUUUAACAUUAACACAAAUAAAUUUCAGAUGUAGGACAACAUGGCUGUUAACAUAAAAUUCACGAAAUUCGACAAUACACCAUGGGGAUUUCGAUUGGCAGGUGGAAGCGAUUUCCCACACCCGCUGACUGUCAUCAGAGUGACAGAGGGAAGUCUCGCGGAAUGCAUGGGAUUGAAGGUUGGCGACGUCGUAGUAAGAUUAAACGAUCAGCCCAUCGGUGCUUUAACUCACGGUCAAGCGCACGAAGAACUAAUGAGAGCGGGGAAUAAUUUCGUCCUGGGCGUACAGAGAGAAGGAGAUCCUCUCAAGGCUGUGGAGGCGCUGUCCGAGGAGAACAUCGUCCCCUACAAGAUACCUCUCGCUGAUUUGCCGCCGGUCUUCCCAGAAAAGAUCUUGACAGAGACUGUGAUCGAGCAACGGGAGGAGAUAAAGAUCGAGGAGAAGGUGUACGAAGAAGAGGCGAAACCCGAAGUGGAACCACUACCGGAGAAGCCUCAGGACGCUAAUAGCGAAGUCGUGCCGAAUCAGAAUCUCACGGACGACGAGAUUGCACAGUUGAUCCUAGAGGAGGAAGAACUUCUAACCGACAAAGGCGUUUUAGGGGUAAAUUUUAAGAAGCUCAGACCCCGAGCAACGGUAUUGAAACAAUCGAAAGUGAUCGAAGAGCUCCAGAAUCUCGCCACAGCCGAGCCUCCUUUGGUCGAACAGUUGAAACGGACCUCGGUGUUCCUAAAGAAACCCGAACGACCAGUACCGGUGCCCCGUAAGAAGCAGGAGGAACAAGAAGAGACGGAAGUCGAGUCUUACAAAGUGAUAAUAAAGAAGCAACAAAAGAGGAGUAUCACCGACCGGCUGCUGGAGAAGGGUUUGCUGAAACCCGAAGACGCGCCAAAGACUCCCGAGCCUCCGACUCCCGAGGCCACACCGGCGCCGACCCCAGAGCCAGCUUGUCGAUCGGAUCAAGAGCUCGAUCCGUCGCAAUCUCGUCCGGAAUCGAAAGCCGAAUCCAAACCGGAGGAAAACGAGGCGGAACAAGAGGAGAGAACACCAGAAACAGCUUGCAACGAGGAGAACGUAGAAUCGGAAGAGAAGGAAGAAAAGUCGACGCGGGAGAAGGUUUUGGGGGAGAUCGAGAAAGAGAUGGCGGACCUGGCGGCAAAAGUGGACAAACAGAAGAUCAAGGAACUGGUGAGCACGGAGAUCGACCUGGAGAAACAGCUGGAGAACGUUCAACGACAAUUGCUGGCGUUGAAGCAGCUACCAAGCGAGAUCGAGUGUCACCUGCGAAUCGUCUCCGAGCAACUGCAGAAAAUCAUGGAGCUGAGCGGAGUCCAAAAUGGCGCCACCGGUGACGACGAGGGGCGACGGGAAACCGAAGAAGCCGACCAAGGCGCAAAAGAAUCGGAAGAGGAGCGCGAAGAAGUCGAGGAAACGGAGGAACAAGAUGUGACGGAAUACACAGAGGACAUUUCGUAUUCAGCGUACUCGGAUGAUGCCCCGCGAAUAACCGUGAGAAGCGAGGAGGAGGAAGAGUACGAAGAGACGGAAACGCAAGAACUGGAAGGAACGUUGUCGGUAAAAAGCGAAGAAGGAAGCAGAGUGAAGAAAUUCGUGGUCUCGUAUGAGACGAAAGUUUUAAAGUCUCCAAGUCCUGCGCCUUCUCACGCAAAGAGUAAAGGAAAGAGGGAGAAAACGUUCGCAAGAUCUCUGGCCCCAGGCUAAGCAGGUGGAACUUACGCUUGGUCGUAGAUGGAGGUGUCCGAAUGAUUUCUUCAAUGAUGAAAUGAUUGCCGAAGUAUUAUCUUCCCAGGCGGAAGUUAUUCGAGGCAGAGCCCUAGGAGUAAAUUUUAAGAAGUACGAG